rnacentral:rRNA from 1 species
AGGCAGCAGGCGCGCAAUUACCCAUUCCCGACUCGGGGAGGUAGUGACGAAAAAUAACAAUUCAAGACUCUAAACGAGGCCUUGAAGUUGGAAUGAGUACACUUUAAAAUUUUUAACGAGUAUCUAUUGGAGGGCAAGUCUGGUGCCAGCAGCCGCGGUAAUUCCAGCUCCAAUAGCGUAUACUAAAGUUGUUGCGGUUAAAAAGCUCGUAGUUGGAUCUUGGGGCGUGUGCUUUCGGUCAUGCCAAUGGUGUGUACUGAUUGACGUGUUCUUCUAUUUGGUUGCGCGUGUGUGUUCUCUUAAUUGAGUGCCACACUCGACCGAAACGUUUACCUUGAAAAAAUUAGAGUGUUCAAAGCAGACCUGUUUGUGCCUGAAUAUUCGUGCAUGGAAUAAUGAAAUAUGAAUUCGGUUCUAUUUUGUUGGUUUUCGGAACUCGAGUUAAUGAUUAAGAGGGACGGACGGGGGUAUUAGUACUCUGCCGUUAGAGGUGAAAUUCUUGGAUCGGCGGAAGACUCGCAACUGCGAAAGCAUUUGCCAAGAAUGUUUUCUUUAAUCAAGAACGAUAGUCGGAGGUUCGAAGACGAUCAGAUACCGUCCUAGUUUCGACUGUAAACUAUGCCAGCUAACGAUCAGACAGCGUUCUCUACGACUUGUCUGGCAGUUUCCGGGAAACCAGAGCUUUUGGGUUCCGGGGGAAGUAUGGUUGCAAAGCUGAAACUUAAAGGAAUUGACGGAAGGGCACCACCAGGAGUGGAGCCUGCGGCUUAAUUUGACUCAACACGGGGAAACUCACCCGGCCCGGACACAGUGAGGAUUGACAGAUUGAGAGUUCUUUCUUGAUUCUGUGGGUGGUGGUGCAUGGCCGUUCUUAGUUGGUGGAGCGAUUUGUCUGGUUAAUUCCGAUAACGAACGAGACUCUGGCAUGUUAAAUAGUCGCGGAAGUAUUUUUGCUUACCGAUUUGACUUCUUAGAGGGACAAGUGAUUUUAAUCACACGAGAUUGAGCAAUAACAGGUCUGUGAUGCCCUUAGAUGUUCGGGGCCGCACGCGCGCUACAAUGAGUCGAUCAACGAGCGUUUAAUUUCCGAGGCCGAAAGGUCGAGGUAAUCCGUUGAACCCGACUCGUGCUAGGGAUAGGGAAUUGUAAUUGUUUCCCUUGAACGAGGAAUUCCCAGUAAGCGCAAGUCAUCAGCUUGCGUUGAUUACGUCCCUGCCCUUUGUACACACCGCCCGUCGCUACUACCGAUUGAAUGGUUCAGUGAGAUAAUCGGACAGGUAACUUGGUAACUGUUAAAAGUUACCGAGCAUAUUGGNAAGACGAUCAAACUUAGUCAAUGAG